rnacentral:rRNA from 1 species
UACGUAGGGGCCGAGCGUUGUCCGGAGUUAUUGGGCGUAAAGCGCGCGCAGGCGGCCUCGCGCGCCCGACGUGAAAGCCCCCGGCUUAACCGGGGAGGGUCGUUGGGGACGGCGGGGCUUGAGGGCGGGAGAGGGAUGCGGAAUUCCAGGUGUAGCGGUGAAAUGCGUAGAUAUCUGGAGGAACACCGGUGGCGAAGGCGGCAUCCUGGACCGAUACUGACGCUGAGGAGCGAAAGCCAGGGGAGCAAACGGG